CAUUGAAACACCGGUUCCCGUACGAUCAGCGAAGAUAAGCAACGUCGAGCCUGGUCAGUACCUAGAUGGGUGACCGCUUGGGAAUGCCAGGUGAUGUAAG
rnacentral:rRNA from 1 species